AGAGUUUGAUCCUGGCUCAGGAUGAACGCUGGCGGCGUGCUUAACACAUUCAAGUCGAACGGAGUUCAAUUGGAGCUUGCUCCCGGCUGAACUUAGUGGCGGACGGGUGAGUAAUGCAUGGGCAACCUGCCUUCACGGAGGGGGAUAACGAUCGGGAAACCGGUGCUAAUACCGCAUAGAGCAUUUUGCUAGGCAUCUGUCGAGAUGGGAAAGGAGCAAUCCGCCUGGAGAUGGG
rnacentral:rRNA from 1 species